rnacentral:rRNA from 1 species
UACGUAGGGGCCAAGCGUUGUCCGGAUUUAUUGGGCGUAAAGAGCUCGUAGGCGGUUCGGCAAGUCGAAUGUGAAAUCUCCACGCUCAACGUGGAGGGGUCAUUCGAUACUGCCGUGACUUGAGUCCGGUAGGGGAGUGUGGAAUUCCCGGUGUAGCGGUGAAAUGCGCAGAGAUCGGGAGGAACACCCGUAGCGAAGGCGGCACUCUGGGCCGGUACUGACGCUGAGGAGCGAAAGCGUGGGGAGCGAACAGG